ACGCUGGCGGCAGGCCUAACACAUGCAAGUCGAGCGGUAGAGAGAAGCUUGCUUCUCUUGAGAGCGGCGGACGGGUGAGUAAUGCCUAGGAAUCUGCCUGGUAGUGGGGGAUAACGUUCGGAAACGGACGCUAAUACCGCAUACGUCCUACGGGAGAAAGCAGGGGACCUUCGGGCCUUGCGCUAUCAGAUGAGCCUAGGUCGGAUUAGCUAGUUGGUGGGGUAAUGGCUCACCAAGGCGACGAUCCGUAACUGGUCUGAGAGGAUGAUCAGUCACACUGGAACUGAGACACGGUCCAGACUCCUACGGGAGGCAGCAGUGGGGAAUAUUGGACAAUGGGCGAAAGCCUGAUCCAGCCAUGCCGCGUGUGUGGAGAAGGUCUUCGGAUUGUAAAGCACUUUAAGUUGGGAGGAAGGGUUGUAGAUUAAUACUCUGCAAUUUUGACGUUACCGACAGAAUAAGCACCGGCUAACUCUGUGCCAGCAGCCGCGGUAAUACAGAGGGUGCAAGCGUUAAUCGGAAUUACUGGGCGUAAAGCGCGCGUAGGUGGUUAGUUAAGUUGGAUGUGAAAUCCCCGGGUUCAACCUGGGAACUGCAUUCAAAACUGACUGACUAGAGUAUGGUAGAGGGUGGUGGAAUUUCCUGUGUAGCGGUGAAAUGCGUAGAUAUAGGAAGGAACACCAGUGGCGAAGGCGACCACCUGGACUGAUACUGACACUGAGGUGCGAAAGCGUGGGGAGCAAAC
rnacentral:rRNA from 1 species